rnacentral:rRNA from 1 species
GGCCGCGGGAAUUCGAUUCAGGCCUAACACAUGCAAGUCGAACGGCAGCACGGAGCUUGCUCUGGUGGCGAGUGGCGAACGGGUGAGUAAUAUAUCGGAACGUACCCUAGAGUGGGGGAUAACGUAGCGAAAGUUACGCUAAUACCGCAUACGAUCUACGGAUGAAAGUGGGGGAUCGCAAGACCUCAUGCUCGUGGAGCGGCCGAUAUCUGAUUAGCUAGUUGGUAGGGUAAAAGCCUACCAAGGCAUCGAUCAGUAGCUGGUCUGAGAGGACGACCAGCCACACUGGAACUGAGACACGGUCCAGACUCCUACGGGAGGCAGCAGUGGGGAAUUUUG